AAGAAUUUGAAGCUGCUGCUCGGCCUGUUGUUGAGGACCUGCUUGAAGUGACCGAGGGUGACCCGGUCCGGCGGCACCGCCACCUUCACCAAGUACGGCGUCUCCUCCUCAUCCAUGUGGUUUGGCUUGUCCUUCUUCACUCGUUGAUUCCCUUGGCUUGACUGAAAUAAAGGAUACGCUGAACCAUGAGGUUACAGAUUGUGGUGGAAUACAAAGUGGGAUUGCACAAUCAAGUGAAGCAGGGCCCACAUAGUGCAAGUGCUGAUUUAUUGUGUAUCUUCCUGGACAGAAGAAGGAUCAACAAAUUGGAACACUAUCAACAUAAAUCAUGGGAUUGCAGGGCUGUAGGAAAUUGAAGGAGGAUGCAGUUGUUGUGACUCAUGAAGCUUAUGACAUCAUGACUCUAAAGAGCUUAAUCAAUGUGCCAGCUGGUCUCUCCUCUCCACCAUUUCCAAAUCUUCAUCAAUACAAGGAGCAGGAGACUAUGAAUGAAA